AUGGUCCGACUCAGCCUCAUCGUCCUCGGCCUGCUGGCUGCAGCUUGGUGUUUCACUGGAACUACUGAUGGAAUUCAAGUCAGGAUAGUUAAGACGUUAACAGCCUUGUCCUGCGGUCGUGGCCAGGUGAUAAAGGUGGGAAGAUGUUACAGGAUCAGAUCGUGUCCUUGGGUGACCUACACUCAUGGCUCUGUGAAGUGUAUCAGCUGGUACAUGACUCGUAGCAUAAAGAAAUGUAACAAGAGGAGGUCCUGUGGGAUCUCAAACCGCAUCUCCAGGGGUCGAUAUGCCUGUAAAUACAGGUGUGUCAGGAAGCCCCGACCGAGUCUCAGGAAGCCCCGACCGAGGAGGAAGAAGCCCCGACCGAGUCUCAGGAAGCCCCGACGGAUCAAUUGGACGAAGAGGUGUCACAAACGUCAGGGGAGGCGUCACUGUCACCUGUAUAAGAAGAAGUGUUCCUGGAAUCGUCAUCGGACUUAUUAUUGUAAACAGGUUCCGUGGAGAAGGUGUCACUGGAGAUUUCCUCAGGGGAAUCACUGUGACAGGGGGAAGAAGCAGAAGUGUGGCUUCAGUCGUUUGGUUAAGAGGCGUCGCUGUCAGUGGAUUAGGAAGGAGACUGUUAGGAAGAGGAGGAAGAAGAAGUGUUACAAGACGAGUAGGGGUUAUAUGUGUCUCUUGACCUGACUCUGAGGCCUUUCAAACUCUGCUGUUCACGGCUGUGGACACAACGCUUUGAAGACCCGUCAGACUGAUCGCAGGUCAGAUCGGAGCUGAAACUGGAGAUCCUCGUCCUCUGUCUGAAGUCGUGUGUUGAAAUGAUUCAAACGGGUUGAAACUGAAGGAUUUGAAGUGAAUAAAAUCCAAGUUUUCCUCUGACAGCAUUUGAUUUGUGUUGACUUUUAUUUGUCCCUGUGCAGCUUUUAUGACAUUAUGGAUUCUUUAGAAA
rnacentral:lncRNA from 1 species